rnacentral:misc_RNA from 1 species
AUUUCACCCAACUGGGACACAUGCAUAUCUAGAGUCUUAAAGAAGUUCCCGGUAAUCUGAGAAAUGGACCUUGACAUCGUGAUACUCCCGCAAUGUGCCUCACGUUGCUGUAGUGCGAAUGCGAUUAGUUUCUCCUUCUGAUCAUGUAAACUUUUUUGAAGAUCAUUAACCAAGGUAUCAGCCUGAGAAGCAAUCUCCUUAAAAAGCUCUCCUAAAGCAGAAGAAUGUUUAGAAACUUCACAAUUUAAACGGUCAAAGGUUGACUGAGCAUUGCCGUCAAGUUCCCCAGCCAAACCAUCUAAAGCUUUGAUACCAGAACCAAACAUGGUUUUUAAGUUCUCCAGACGGCCUCGAAGCUCUUCCACUGCCUCAGUCUUUGUAGAAACAAAGGACUGCAUGUCUUCCUCCAUGCCUUUGAGUUGUUGCUCUUGUUGUGUGGUUGAAGAAGCAACAGCCUUAUGCAGGACUUCAAGCUGUUGAGUCAGCUGGGAUUGGAAAUUUUGGAUGAGAACUCUGUUUCCAUCUUCUAUUUUGUCUUUGCGCUCAAUCUUGGCAAACAAGUUCGACACGUCUGAUGCAGCAUUUUCCAGUUCAGCUCGAAGUUCAAAUGCUUGCUCAA